GUGGGGAAUAUUGCACAAUGGGGGAAACCCUGAUGCAGCGACGCCGCGUGAGUGAAGAAGUAUUUCGGUAUGUAAAGCUCUAUCAGCAGGGAAGAAAAAAGACGGUACCUGACUAAGAAGCCCCGGCUAACUACGUGCCAGCAGCCGCGGUAAUACGUAGGGGGCAAGCGUUAUCCGGAUUUACUGGGUGUAAAGGGAGCGUAGACGGCGCGGCAAGUCUGAAGUGAAAGGCAGGGGCUUAACCCCUGAACUGCUUUGGAAACUGCCAUGCUAGAGUGCUGGAGAGGUAAGUGGAAUUCCUAGUGUAGCGGUGAAAUGCGUAGAUAUUAGGAGGAACACCAGUGGCGAAGGCGGCUUACUGGACAGUAACUGACGUUGAGGCUCGAAAGCGUGGGGAGCAAACAGGAUUAGAAACCCUAGUAGUCC
rnacentral:rRNA from 1 species